rnacentral:rRNA from 1 species
AGUGAGCGCUGGCGGUAGGCCUAACACAUGCAAGUCGAACGGCAGCACAGUAAGAGCUUGCUCUUACGGGUGGCGAGUGGCGGACGGGUGAGGAAUACAUCGGAAUCUACUUUUUCGUGGGGGAUAACGUAGGGAAACUUACGCUAAUACCGCAUACGACCUACGGGUGAAAGCAGGGGAUCUUCGGACCUUGCGCGAUUGAAUGAGCCGAUGUCGGAUUAGCUAGUUGGCGGGGUAAAGGCCCACCAAGGCGACGAUCCGUGGCCGGUCUGAGAGGAUGGUCAGCCACACUGGAACUGAGACACGGUCCUGACUCCUACGGGAGGCAGCAGUGGGGAAUAUUGGACAAUGGGCGCAAGCCUGAUCCAGCCAUACCGCGUGGGUGAAGAAGGCCUUCGGGUUGUAAAGCCCUUUUGUUGGGAAAGAAAAGCAGCAGGUUAAUACCACGCUGUUCUGACGGUACCCAAAGAAUAAGCACCGGCUAACUUCGUG